rnacentral:rRNA from 1 species
GGUUCAGGAUGAACGCUAGCUACAGGCUUAACACAUGCAAGUCGAGGGGCAGCAUGUUGGUUGCUUGCAACCAAUGAUGGCGACCGGCGCACGGGUGAGUAACGCGUAUCCAACCCUCCCUAUAGUAGAGGAUAGCCCGGCGAAAGUCGGAUUAAUACUCUAUGUUUUCCAAUGCAGACAUCUAAAAUGGAACAAAGGUUCACCGCUAUAGGAUGGGGAUGCGUCUGAUUAGAUAGUCGGCGGGGUAACGGCCCACCGAGUCGACGAUCAGUAGGGGUUCUGAGAGGAAGGUCCCCCACAUUGGAACUGAGACACGGUCCAAACUCCUACGGGAGGCAGCAGUGAGGAAUAUUGGUCAAUGGGCGAGAGCCUGAACCAGCCAAGUAAGCGUGCGGGAUGACGGCCCUAUGGGUUGUAAACUGCUUUUAUACAGGGAUAAAGUGACGUACGUGUACGUUAUUGUAGGUACUGUAUGAAUAAGGACCGGCUAAUUCCGUGCCAGCCGCGGC